AGGUAAAUCGCAGCUUCAUGAGUCAUGUAUUAUCCAUGGAAAUUGAGCACAUAAGCAGUCCAGAUUAUUGAACUCCUCAAGAAAGUAUAAAAUUCAUUUUAGCCAUGUAAGACACCCCUUGAUCUUCCACUGUGAUUGUGAGGUCUCCCCAGCCACGUGGAACUGAAUUCAGCUUUAGUACGACUAUCCCAGACAGACUACUAAACAAGUUCACUACAGUGCAGGAAAAUCCAGCUUUGGAGAAACUUCUGACCAGCAAACCAAAGAAAAACGUAAGUGACUUCACCCUUGAGGAAUACCUGAGGCAGGGUUUUUUUUUAAAGAAAAAACGGUUUGUUUGGCUCACGGUUCUGCAGGCUAUACAAGAAACACGGUGCUGGAAUCUGCUGGGCUUCUGAUGAGGGCUAAAGACUGCUUCCAGUCAGGGAAGAAGGCAAACUGGAGCCAGAGUGUGCACACAGCACACAACCAGAGAGGAGGAAGAUGGGGUGCCAGGUUUUGUUUUGUUUUGUUUUUUUUGUUUAACAAUUAGCUCUUGUGGGAACUAAUAAAGUGAAAACUCGCUCAUCUUAGGAAGGGCAUUAAUCUGUUCUUGAGGGAUCUGCCCUGAUGACCCAAACAUCUCCCAUGAGACCCCACCUCCAACAUUGGUGUCAAAUUUCAGGAUGAGGUUUGGAGAGUCAAAUAUCCAAACCCUAGCACCCAUAUUAUGUGGGAUCAUAGCAAUGACUGAGUUAAUAUAUAUGUAAGAGUACUUCAAACAGUAGUUGAAACAUGGUAAGGAUUUAGGAGGUUGGGUUAUUUUAUUACUAUUAUUAUCCAGGCCACACUAAAAAUAACAUCAAGUUUUUCAAAAGCAGCUAGGAAAAAAUACUGAGGAGUCUGUGAAUAGAUGGAGUGGAGUGAGCUAGUAGAUGGUGAAGGCGCUGCUCACGAAAGAAACAGAGGUGGUGCCCAGGUCUUCGGAAUCUGAGUGACGACACUGGACACAAACUACUCACUGACUGGGGAGCAGCUGAGUAGCCUAGCAAAUCCUGGCUUAUCCCCCGAGAAUGUUCCAGCAGGUAAGAGAUUCUAAGCUUGGGGGACGGGGAGCCUACAGGAGAAACCACAGGUUCAAAAGUAGGCAUUAUAUGGCGAGCACAUUUUGAAGUGUCCACAGGGAAAGAAUUACUGGAUGAAGACAAUGAAUAUGGGAAAUUUUAGAACAAGAUGGGUGAAUCAUCAAUUAGAAUUUUACUUCAUUUCCUAGGUAAAACACAGUAACUCUGGAAUAAAGUCAUUGUCAUGCAAAUACCAGGAGGUGGUGGUGUUACUAUUCAUAAUCACAAUGGCUUAGUAAUAAUGAUGAUGAUCAUUCUAAUUGUCCCACCAGAUACGAGACUGUCAUAAAAUCGGUAAUGUGGACAGAAAUACUGAAAGUUGUGUAAAAGAUUAAAUGAGGUUUGUGCUUUC